rnacentral:rRNA from 1 species
UACGAAGGGGGCUAGCGUUGUUCGGAAUUACUGGGCGUAAAGCGCGCGUAGGCGGAUAUUUAAGUCAGGGGUGAAAUCCCAGGGCUCAACCCUGGAACUGCCUUUGAUACUGAAUGUCUGGAGUUCGGUAGAGGUGAGUGGAAUUCCGAGUGUAGAGGUGAAAUUCGUAGAUAUUCGGAGGAACACCAGAAGCGAAGGCGGCUCACUGGACCGACACUGACGCUGAGGCGCGAAAGCGUGGGGAGCAAACAGG